rnacentral:rRNA from 1 species
ACUGAUUAUUUUGUGACUGAGUGGCGGACGGGUGAGUAACGCGUGGGUAACCUGCCUUGUACAGGGGGAUAACAGUUGGAAACGGCUGCUAAUACCGCAUAAGCGCACGGCAUCGCAUGAUGCAGUGUGAAAAACUCCGGUGGUAUAAGAUGGACCCGCGUUGGAUUAGCUAGUUGGUGAGGUAACGGCCCACCAAGGCGACGAUCCAUAGCCGACCUGAGAGGGUGACCGGCCACAUUGGGACUGAGACACGGCCCAAACUCCUACGGGAGGCAGCAGUGGGGAAUAUUGCACAAUGGGCGAAAGCCUGAUGCAGCGACGCCGCGUGAGCGAAGAAGUAUUUCGGUAUGUAAAGCUCUAUCAGCAGGGAAGAUAAUGACGGUACCUGACUAAGAAGCACCGGCUAAAUACGUGCCAGCAGCCGCGGUAAUACGUAUGGUGCAAGCGUUAUCCGGAUUUACUGGGUGUAAAGGGAGCGCAGGCGGUGCGGCAAGUCUGAUGUGAAAGCCCGGGGCUCAACCCCGGUACUGCAUUGGAAACUGUCGUACUAGAGUGUCGGAGGGGUAAGCGGAAUUCCUAGUGUAGCGGUGAAAUGCGUAGAUAUUAGGAGGAACACCAGUGGCGAAGGCGGCUUACUG